rnacentral:rRNA from 1 species
ACGCUCGACACCUACGGGAGGUAGCAGUGGGGAAUAUUGCACAAUGGGGGAAACCCUGAUGCAGCGAUGCCGCGUGGAGGAAGAAGGUCUUCGGAUUGUAAACUCCUGUUGUUGGGGAAAAAGAGGAUGGUACCCAACAAGGAAGUGACGGCUAACUACGUGCCAGCAGCCACGGUAAUCUGAGCGGGCUGGCAAGGC